UUAAAUCUCCCUAACCAAGAUGUAGAGGAAUUGGAAGACACAAUCGCCAAGAUGACGCAAGAGAAGGUUAUGUGGGAAGAGUGUUUCCGUGCCUAUUUUCAAGAAGCCAGAGAGAUUGUUAAUUUAAUACGAUAGCAACAACAGUAAUAAUGUAAGCAAUAGAUCAAUAUCGUCGUUGGUUAUACGGUUAGCAUGUCCAGUCCCGUAUUCAUCUGAUAAAGUUAUUCCGUAUCAGUACAAUGCUACGAUGAUGAAAGAUGGUCAAGAGGUCUC
rnacentral:lncRNA from 1 species